rnacentral:rRNA from 1 species
CCUACGGGAGGCAGCAGUGAGGAAUAUUGGUCAAUGGGCGGGAGCCUGAACCAGCCAAGUCGCGUGAGGGAAGACGGUCCUAUGGAUUGUAAACCUCUUUAGGCGGGGAGCAAUGCCGGGCACGCGUGCCCGGAGGGAGAGUACCCGCAGAAUAAGCAUCGGCUAACUCCGUGCCAGCAGCCGCGGUAAUACGGAGGAUGCGAGCGUUAUCCGGAUUUAUUGGGUUUAAAGGGUGCGUAGGCGGAUUUUUAAGUCAGCGGUAAAAUGUCCGGGCUCAACCCGGGCCGGCCGUUGAAACUGGUGAUCUUGAGUGGGCGAGAAGUAUGCGGAAUGCGUGGUGUAGCGGUGAAAUGCAUAGAUAUCACGCAGAACACCGAUUGCGAAGGCAUCUUACGGAUCCGCGAUUGACGCUGAUGCACGAAAGCGUGGGUAUCGAACAGGAUUAGAUACCCGAGUAGUC